UAGAUUAAGGCUCGUUGAUUGAGUGUUUAGCUGUUAACUAAAAGGUCGUAGGAUCAAAGCCUACUAAUCUAG
rnacentral:tRNA from 1 species